rnacentral:rRNA from 1 species
GACGUAGGGCGCGAGCGUUGUCCGGAUUUAUUGGGCGUAAAGAGCUCGUAGGCGGCUUGUCGCGUCGGUCGUGAAAACCCGGGGCUCAACUCCGGGCUUGCGGGCGAUACGGGCAGGCUAGAGUUCGGUAGGGGAGACUGGAAUUCCUGGUGUAGCGGUGAAAUGCGCAGAUAUCAGGAGGAACACCGGUGGCGAAGGCGGGUCUCUGGGCCGAUACUGACGCUGAGGAGCGAAAGCGUGGGGAGCGAACAGG